AGAGAGAGAGGCGAAAUCGCCCGGUUUCAGGUUUCCUGCGAUUGGGUUGACCGCCUGUGCAAUUAAACAUAAACAAUCUUAGAGGAUUCCCCCUCUUCUUCUUGUGCAGCCCCGAUACCGAGCGCCCGCCUUUUUUCCCUCUGAAAGGUACAGAGGCACAGAUAAAUAACCAAAGGCACCGUGUGGGAAUGAAUGGCGCUCGGCUCACGGUGAGCCCAGCGGGAGGGUGUUGCUACGCGUCCGCUCUGUGUUCCCCUGCAACCCAGCUGUGGCCCGUCUCUUUGUUGACUUUAGAAAGAUCACAUGGCGUCCUAUUGGAGACCUGCUCGGAGGGGGGGAGCCCCUCUGCAGGACAUUUUUUCUGGUCAACAUUAACUCCUCCGCUCAUGCGGUUCUUCCUCGCCCCGGUUUCAACACACGGAACGGCAGAACAGCCCGCUCGUGUUUACACUCGCAGGCAAAGCACAUUCUUCAAGGUGAAGCUUCCCUCUCCUUCCAAAAAUGGCUUGUAAACUUGAGAGGGAGAGAAGAGAAGAUGUCUGUCUCCAAUCAAGUGUGUGACACCUACCAAUUAGAGAGCUCAAGCUGUCCAUCCAGUCACCGAUCUCAACGGAGUAAGAAAACACCGCCAUUGUCUACCGGAAGAAAACGACAAAAGAGAACCAACCUCAAGGUGUACAGUGGGAUAAAAUAGCUUCAGCAUGAGCAAGUUACAAUGUCUCAUUUUUCCACGUUGAAAUUUCCAUAAAAGUGUACAGUAGGAGAUAACCAGACUUAGCCAGUGAGUUAUAGCCCUUUCCCCCCCAGUGUGUGGCUAAUCUGCCCAGCACCCUGACGGUGCUCUGAUAGCUGAGUUCUGUCAUGAUUACUCAGUCUCCCUGGUCCUCCCAGCUCGCUCUGCUGACUGUGGGCUCACAGGAUGCUUGUCAGCUAAGAAUAAAACAUUUGACAUAAAUUGGGCUUUUGCUGCCAGGUGUAAAGUGAACCACACUUAACCACCAGUGUGCUGUUGUUACAACUAUAAACCACACUGAACCACCAGUGUGUUGCUGUUAAAACUAUGAACCACACUGAACCAUCAGUGUGUUGCUGUUAAAACUAUAAACCACAUUGAACCACCAGUGUGCUGCUUUUAAAACUAUGUCAAAAUUGUGCCUGUGUGUAUUUAAAAACACUUAGCAGAGAGAAAAUUCUGCCCCCACUUCCUCUGCUCUUUGCCGAAACUUCAAAGCUUCCCUGCAUCUAAAAAAGUUAAUUGAAUCGAACUCUAAGUACAUCGAGCGAAAGAAAGGCUCAUAAUCUGAGCUUUGGGCAUGACUAAACCUGAAGAUAUUUCCUUGGCCUUCAGGCAUAAUGACUGUGCAAGGUCGGCGACAUGAUUAUUUAUCGAAUGAAACAGAUCAAUUUGUUGAUCAAUAUCUGCAUUAUGUAACCUGCUUUUCUCUCAGAGUAUUCUCUCCGAUUCCUAGGUGAAUGAAUUUCGGAAAUCAUAGAUAAUGCACAGGUAUAGAUCAUUUAUGAAACCUAUUCAUCAACUCAGGAGGCAUCACUCUUGUUUACAUGACUUAUUUUACAUGUUUGAAUCACAUAAAUUUCAGAUGGCCCAUAUGCAUUUGCCAGUAACCAAAUAUGUCUAUGUACAUGUUAUGCCUGUACAGAAAUGGGCGAGUUUUGAUGAUGUCCACUUCAGACAUUGUCAGCUUUUUGAAGGAUCUUUAUCUUUGCAUCCAUUUGUUUCCACUUAUUAGUUCAAAGACGCUCCUUAAUUUUGGUCAAGGCCACAGUAAGUGGAGAUAAUGGUGCUAUUUAGGGCUUUUAAAGAUUAAAGGCAGAAACCCUUCAGUUUAUCAUGGAUGGAAUGAGCCUUUUCCAUGUGCGUUCUCUGUUUGGGAAGGCUGCUGUAUUUAAGUCAUUCAGCUUUUGAUUACCCCCUUCUUGAAGACUGAAGUAGGCGGGGUCUUUGUGCAUGGAUACCCAAAGAUUUGGAUUUAUUUUUAUAAGCCUUCAUAAUUAACAUAACUUAGCUUCCAAGAAAAUAAAUAAAUAAAUAAAUAAAUAAAUAAAUAAAUAAAUAAAUAAAUAAAUAAAUAAAUAAAAACCAGCGCAUUCA